AUGGAGAGCCGUGUGGAUGACGUGGCUCCAUCCGCACGUGGCCUGUCGAACAACCCCACCAGCCCCACACUCUUCCCACUGACCUUCCGGAGCACCAAACCGUCCGACCCGGUGAUCAUCGGCUGCCUGGUCCAGGACUUCUUACCAUCCAAGCCCGUGGACGUGACCUGGGACAGCAGCGGGUCGGGCACCUCCAUCAGCAACGUCCUCCCCAUGUUCACCUCCCGGGGCCUCUACACCAUGGUCAGCCAGCUGACCCUGCCGGCCAGCCAGUGCCCGGCGAGUGGUAUCAUGAAGUGCCACGUGCGGCACAACUCCGGCCCCAGCCAGACCAAGGACGUGCCCUGCACAGUCCCGCCAACGCCAAUGCCAACAUCACGGCCCACAUGCUCAUGCUGCCAGCCCCGCCUGACCCUGCACCCUCCGGCCCUCGAGGACCUGCUGCUGGGCUCUGAUGCCAACCUCACGUGCACGCUGAGUGGCCUGAGAGAGCCCCAGGGUGCCAGCUUCACCUGGCAGCCCACGGGUGGGAAGAAGGCCAUCCAGCAGGACCCGCAGAGCGACGCCUGCGGCUGCUACAGCGUGUCCAGCGUCCUGCCGGGCUGCGCCGACCCGUGGAACCGCGGGCAGAGGUUCUCCUGCACCGCCACCCACCCUGAGGCCACGAGCGCGCUCACCGCCACCAUCGCCAGAGCCUCAGGGAGCACCUUCCCACCCCAGGUCCACCUGCUGCCGCCGCCCUCCGAGGAGCUGGCCCUCAACGAGCUGGUGACGCUGACGUGCGUGGUGCGGGGCUUCUACCCCAAAGACGUGCUGGUGCGGUGGCUGCACGAGAGCCAGGAGCUGCCCCGAGAGAAGUACCAGACGUGGAGCCCCCUGCCCGAGGCCGGCCAGGGCGGCGCCACGUUCGCCACGACCAGCGUGCUGCGCGUGGACACCGAGGCGUGGAAGAGCGGGGACAACUACUCCUGCAUGGUGGGCCACGAGGCCCUGCCCCUGAGCUUCACGCAGAAGACCAUCAACCGCCUGGCGGGUAAACCCACCCACGUCAACGUGUCUGUGGUCAUGUCAGAGGUGGACGGCGUCUGCUACUGA